rnacentral:rRNA from 1 species
GAGUUUGAUCCUGGCUCAGGACGAACGCUGGCGGCGUGCCUAACACAUGCAAGUCGAACGGGGUGAAGCCCUUCGGGACUUUACUUAGUGGCGAACGGGUGAGUAACGCGUGAGGAACCUUCCUUUCAGUGGGGGACAACAGUUGGAAACGACUGCUAAUACCGCAUAACACUUUUUGGGGACAUCCCUGAAAAGUCAAAGCUUUAUGUGCUGAAAGAUGGCCUCGCGUCUGAUUAGCUGGUUGGCGGGGUAACGGCCCACCAAGGCGACGAUCAGUAGCCGGUCUGAGAGGAUGAACGGCCACAUUGGGACUGAGAUACGGCCCAGACUCCUACGGGAGGCAGCAGUGGGGAAUAUUGGGCAAUGGGGGAAACCCUGACCCAGCAACGCCGCGUGAAGGAAGAAGGCCCUCGGGUUGUAAACUUCUUUUACCAGGGACGAAGGACGUGACGGUACCUGGAGAAAAAGCAACGGCUAACUACGUGCCAGCAGCCGCGGUAAUACGUAGGUUGCAAGCGUUGUCCGGAUUUACUGGGUGUAAAGGGCGUGUAGGCGGAGGUGCAAGUUGGGAGUGAAAUCCCGGGGCUCAACCCCGGAACUGCUUUCAAAACUGCAUCCCUUGAGUAUCGGAGAGGCAAGCGGAAUUCCUAGUGUAGCGGUGAAAUGCGUA